rnacentral:rRNA from 1 species
CCCUUAGAUGUUCUGGGCCGCACGCGCGCUACACUGAUGCAUUCAACGAGCCUAUCCUUGACCGACAGGUCCGGGUAAUCUUUGAAUCUGCAUCGUGACGGGGAUAGAUUAUUGCAAUUAUUAAUCUUCAACGAGGAAUGCCUAGUAGGCGCAAGUCAUCAGCUUGCGUCGAUUACGUCCCUGCCCUUUGUACACACCGCCCGUCGCUCCUACCGAUUGGGUGUGCUGGUGAAAUGUUCGGAUCGGCCGUUUGUCGCGGUUUCCGCGUCAUGUGGCUGUUAAGUUCAUUAAACCCUCCCACCUAGAGGAAGGAGAAGUCGUAACA